CACACAUCUCCUGGUGCUAAUGUACUUCCUGGUUUGGCGAUCCGCUGGGUGUCAGGAUUUGUUCUGGUAACUUAUGGACUGGGUCAUUGAGGAGAACCACAAAGAAUUGAUUUUUUUUAAUAGUUAAGAGACUUUAUUCUAAUAGCUAUAAUUACAGUGCUUGUCGAAAUGAAAACUGAAAACAAGUAUACAAAACAGUUGAUUACUAAUUGUGUAUUGAAAGCAGUAAGAGGUUCCACCACACCAAAUAAACCAGUUCUGAGAUUUCCCCAAGAUAAAUUUAACAGCUCCAGCUUCUUCAGUGUUUAUCAAAAUACAAAAGAAAAAAAUAGAGGUCGUCUUUCGAUGGCAAAUCGGACCCUUGCAGGCUGAGGGAGAAAGCUACUUCACUCAUGGAGAUGGAGGUGCUCCAGGAUGUGGGUCUGGAAUGGACUGACCCUCCCAGCUUGCACGCGCUCCUGCUGGUGAGACCCAGACCUCCUGCCAGCCGUCCAAGUGGGCCCAAGAGUAAUCUGGGUAUGUAGGUUGCCAUCUGGCCUGGCCACACACCAAAUACAAGCCAGGCCCUGCACCCCACAAUGGCCCCAGCCAAUCCCUAGGUGACCAUGUGAGCACAAGUACAAGCACAAAGCUAUGGAAUGCAGGUGAACCAAAAACAGGCAAGUCACGGGGGCUCUACUGUGACCAUGCAACAGAUGGUGGUUUGUCACCUUCUCUCCUGUUCUCAUAGGGGAACAGGUGAUCCGAUGGACUAGCAUUCAGGCCAUUACUGCAAAACCUACACUAGGCAUAGUCUCCUUUCUGUGUGUUCAAGUGUUCUUGUCCUGUAUUUUUAAACUAUUUUAAAAAAUACACUGAGUUUGGGUUAAAAACCAACCACCAAAUGGAUACUGACACCAGUUUACAGCCCAAUGGCUCCCGGAGGCCAGGUGCCCCUACACCCAAAUCCCUUCUCAGUACUGACAGUGAGUUGAUUCUCUUUUUACAAUAAAAAAGCUAAGUAAUAUUGCAUAGGAGUACCAGAAACUGCCUCAGUGGAAACAGAAACUAUUUACAUUAAAUAAAAACCUGGCUGCAGGCUGCGUCUGCACAUGUACAGCACGGUGCGAUGCACACUGUGACCAACCCAUGGAAACAGCUUCUGGC
rnacentral:lncRNA from 1 species